rnacentral:tRNA from 1 species
GCCCGGUGCGGGAUGGCUCGGACCCCGGCUUCCGGCCGGUGAGUGCUGGUGGCGAUCGUUCCAAUCGGUCGGUGGGUUC